rnacentral:ribozyme from 1 species
AACUACAAACAAUGGAGGCUCUCUUGUAACUUCGAUGUAGAAAGGCUAUCAGCACACCGUUACCUUCUGGCGUAAAACUUCGCGGCAACUUAGGUGAGAUCAAUUACAUGAACAUUUUUUUUUG